AGAGUUUGAUCCUGGCUCAGGAUGAACGCUAGCUACAGGUUUAACACAUGCAAGUCGAGGGGAAACGACAUCGAAAGCUUGCUUUUGAUGGGCGUCGACCGGCGCACGGGUGAGUAACGCGUAUCCAACCUGCCCAUCACUUGGGGAUAACCUUGCGAAAGUAAGACUAAUACCCAAUGACGUCUCUAGAAGACAUCUGAAAGAGAUUAAAGAUUUAUCGGUGAUGGAUGGGGAUGCGUCUGAUUAGCUUGUUGGCGGGGUAACGCCACCAAGGCGACGAUCAGUAGGGGUUCUGAGAGGAAGGUCCCCACAUUGGAACUGAGACACGGUCCAAAACUCCUACGGGAGGCCAA
rnacentral:rRNA from 1 species